rnacentral:rRNA from 1 species
UACGAAGGGGGCAAGCGUUGUUCGGAAUUACUGGGCGUAAAGCGUGCGCAGGCGGUCUGUUAAGACCGAUGUGAAAUCCCCGGGCUUAACCUGGGAACUGCAUUGGUGACUGGCAGGCUUUGAGUGUGGCAGAGGGAGGUAGAAUUCCACGUGUAGCAGUGAAAUGCGUAGAGAUGUGGAGGAAUACCGAUGGCGAAGGCAGCCUCCUGGGCCAACACUGACGCUCAUGCACGAAAGCGUGGGGAGCAAACAGG